rnacentral:lncRNA from 1 species
AGCAUCCCAACUCGAACAUGUCAGGGUUCAGAUACUCCCAUCCCAACUCAAACAUGUCAGGGUUCACACACAACAUCCCAACUCAAACAUGUCAGGGUUCACAUACAGCAUCCCAACUCAAACAUGUCAGGGUUCACAUACAGCAUCCCCAACUCAAACAUGUCAGGGUUCACAUACAGCAUCCCCAACUCAAACAUGUCAGGGUUCACAUACAGCAACUGAAAGUAAGAAAUCUGGUCCUGAUGUGACAGGGGUUGGUUCAGUGCUAGAUCAAGGCCAGAUUGAUUUCCCUGUCUGUCGCUGUUAGUGAUAAAUAGUAAUUGAUGAUGAUAAUUGAUUGAUGUCAUGAUGCACUUUCAUUGAUAAUGAAUAAAUCAUUUUCAAUGCUCAUCUCAUCAGGGAUUGAUGAUCAACAAUAGAUUUUUUUCAGAACUUUUUCAGUAGUCAUCUGAACAAUUUAGAUGUACUACAUGGGUAGCGGUUCAGAAUAUCACUCAUGGGCUUUUGUGUUUUUGACAGGGUGCUACUGGAUUCCCUGGCGGUGCUGGCAGAGUUGGACCUCCCGGCCCGCUGUAAGCCUCCUUAAUGACCUCUUCCAAUCACUUUAUUUGUUUAUUUGUUCUGGAGUCACCAUUCACUGAUGAUGCUUUCUCUCCAUCUCUGUAUUUCCUUGUUUCUCUCUUGCUUUCUCUCUCCAUCCCUCUCUUUCUCUCUCCAUCCCUCUCUUUCUCUCCAUCUCUGUAUUUCCUUGUUUCUCUCUUGCUUUCUCUCUCCAUCCCUCUCUUUCUCUACAUCCCUCUCUUUCUCUCUCCAUCCCUCUCUUUCUCUACAUCUCUGUAUUUCCUUGUUUCUCUCUUGCUUUCUCUCUCCAUCCCUCUCUUUCUCUCUCCAUCCCUCUCUUUCUCUCCCCCUUAGGGUGUUUCUGGACCUCCUGGCCCCAACGGACCUUCAGGAAAGGAGGGACAGAGAGGCGCUCGUGGUGAGAAGGGAGCCGCUGGCCGUCCAGGAGAGGUUGGCCCAGCUGGAGUCCCCGGACCUAGUGGAGAGAAGGGUUCCCCUGGUAGCGAUGGACCUGCUGGCCCUCUGGGAUCUUCUGGACCUCAGGGUAUUAACGGAGGACGUGGUAUCGUUGGUAUGCCCGGACAGCGUGGAGAGAGAGGAUUCCCAGGCCUGCCUGGACCCGGAGGUGAGCCUGGCAAGCAGGGACCCGCUGGACUCUUUGGCGAGAGAGGAGCCCCAGGACCUAUGGGCCCCUCUGGACUGACUGGUCCUCCUGGUGAAGCCGGCCGUGACGGAUCUGUUGGUAACGAUGGUGCCAGUGGUCGUGAUGGACCUGGAGGCCCCAAGGUACAAUAUCCUCUUCGUUCACCCUCUGCUGCACAACAGGAAACACUCUCGCGUCACUUCCUGUAGUUCUGU